GAUGAACGCUGGCGGCGUGCCUAAUACAUGCAAGUCGAGCGAACAGACGAGGAGCUUGCUCCUCUGACGUUAGCGGCGGACGGGAGAGUAACACGUGGAUAACCUACCUAUCAGUCUGGUAUCACUUCGGGAAACCGGCGCUAAUACCGGAUAACAUCUUGAAGCGUAUGGUUCAAUAGUGAAAGACGGCCUUGCUGUCACUUCUAGCUGGAUCCGCGCCGCAUUAGCUAGUUGGUCAGGUAACGGCUUACCAAGGCAACGAUGCGUAGCCGAAGUGAGAGGGGGGUCGGCCACACUGGAACUGAGACACGGUCCAGACGCCUACGAGAGGGAGCAGUAGGGAAUGGGCCGCAAUGGGCGAAAGCCUGACAGAGCAACGCGGCGUGAGUGAAGAAGGUCUUCGGAUCGGAAAACUCUGUUAUUAGGGAAGAACAAAUGUGUAAGGAACUGUGGACGGCGUGACGGUACCUAAUCAGGAAGCCACGGCUAACUACGUG
rnacentral:rRNA from 1 species